CAAGAAUCUUCUGAUGAUGAGAUUGUAUUAAAAUACACUGACGAAACGAUCAAUGAGAAAGAUUCGACACAAGAAACGGAGUCAUCUAAACAAAUCUCAGUUAGUGAUGGUGUGAUUGAUGACGAAGUAGAUGAUUUGAUGAAAAUAGAUGAAAACUCAAGUGUGAAAGAGAUCACUACCGGCGAACGUCUAUCUUCUAGUGAAAUAAGUCAGGAUUCAUAUUGUAUUGAAAAUGGGAUUGAAACUAUGCGUGCCCAUACUCCUAUCCCCGAAAGAAGAGGUAGUAUCAUUACAGUUAAUGCUAGUGGUGUUAGUGAAACUGAAGAUAAUGCGAGUUUCAGAGAACAUCUAAAAAAACGCCGAAC